GCCCAAGGGGGAGUCUGGCGCCAAGCCGCCGAAGCGGGCCCCCCAGGAACCUCAGAAGGCAUGCCGUCGGCCCAGACACACAAGGGACAAUGGCUGCUACCCGCAGAGACACUGAGCCCAGCCCUCACGUCCCCAUGAGUCGGCUUCAAAGUGGCUAAUGUUGGGACUGUUUGGUUCGCGCUCACGCUCAACACUGAGUGAAUGAACUGAGGUGGCAUACUGGGGGCUGUGCCCAGCCAGGACUGACCUCUUCAGGCCUCCGAUUCUGGCUCAGAGCAGCAGAGACCAAUUUCGUCAAGGCCUUCGUCUGGACAAGGGCUCACGCGACGCUACCCAGCCUGCGUGGCCCGCCCGGACCGUGAAGGGACAGUCCUCCCGGCUGCCUCUGGACACUACUCGGCCGCUAGGGUUCUCGCCACAGUCCUGCCCUCAACCAUAAUGAAUGGAGGAAUGAACACGGCCGAGGUCCUGGAUUCUCGCUCAGCCUCGUCUCUGCCAGUGUGUCCUGGGCCAGAGGCGGAGCCCCAGCCCCAUCCCCUUCAACCGGAGGGACCUCAGAAUUGUUGGUGUUUCCACGGGCCCCCUCCGGGACAGUGACUUUUGCUCAGCUGGUCCCCUGAAGCAUCCCCUCCAAUCUCCGUGAUGUCUGUUUCAAAGUACAUAAUGCUGGACUUGGCUGCCCCCCCCCCUCUAUUGACCAAGAAAGUUCUAGAGGAUGGCAUUCCCCGCAUCUCUACCAGACCUCGCCGUUUGCCCUUCGCGGAUGGCCACAGGAGCGGAAAACCCCUCCCGAUGCUCCGCUUGCUUCCGGGGGGGGGGGCUCAUUCAGGUGCCCGUCUUCCCUCUCCCAGCAUCUGGGAUCCCCCUUUCCCCUGCUUCUUCCUUAGUGGAAAGGCAGGCUGGAGAGUGUCUUCCAUGUACAGACUGGUUCGCGCUCACCCUUAACCCUGAGUGAAUGAAUUGAAUUGGCGUACUCGGACGCGGACUGUGCCCAGGCAGGACUGACCUCUUUAGGCCUCUGAUUCUGGCUCAGAGCAGCAGAGACCAAUUUCCUCAAGGCCUUCCUCUGGACAAGGGCUCAUGGGACCCAACCAAGUCUUCAUAGCCCGCCCAGACUGUGGUGAGACAGUCCUCCUGGCUGCUUCCAGCCUGUACGCAGCGGGGCACGUCCCCCAUGCCCACGUACCCCCACAUGCCACUAUGUUUCUCACUAGAGUCCUGCAAUCAUCAGGAUGAGAGUUUGAAAGCAGACUAGUGUCUGGAUUGUUACUCAGUAUCCUGUCUCUGCCAGGUAAGGAUUCAGGGAGUCUGGCCUCUGGGAUUCCCCCAACCCCCCAGGUAGGAUCUAUGAGGGUGUCCUGACCAGGCCUUGGGAACAGGAGGUAGGAGCCUGGCUCAUGAUCUUCAAAUGAGGAUGUGUGGACACUCACUCUCUCCCUCCUGCUUCCUGAUCCAUUAUCCCACCCGGACCAGAAUGGAAAACCACUGCUCUGUUCAAUCCCUCCCUCAUUUUGAAUGAGGUGCAGGAGGGGUGACUUUGGCCCUUUCUUGGUAGCCCUCCAUGUCUGUCAUUUGCUUCCUGUGAGGGGUUUUUGCUCUGCUGAUUACCCUUCCCAGAACUGUUGCCAGAAGAACGAGAUUCCUUGUCUUCAUCCUCAGUGCUGAGCUCCCAUUAAAGGUUCAGCUGUGGAUUAUCCUUGUGGUCACCCUGGCACCUAAACACAGGAAGAUCCUGGGUGGCGACUGGGGGGGGAAAGACCAACCUGGCCGUAUGCUUAGAGACGGAGCCCCUGGCUUUAUUUCGAAGAAAAAACUCCUUUGGCCCUGGUAGCAGGGGAACUUUUCUGUUCCUGUGGGCAGCUGUGGCCUGGGGAAGUGAGAGGGGCGAUGUGCCCCUGCUGCAGUGGCACUUUCUCUCUGUGAUCAUCAUACAUGAAUGAUUGCUGGUGUCUUUGAUGGAAAUUCUCCCCAACUGCUACCAAAAGACUAGCAGUUUGUGGUUUCUUCCCAUUCUUAUGUGUUCUGCUGGGAAGUAGGAAGCGCCCCUCAUCAUCGGCUGACCUGCAUACGUUUCCUUAUACAGAGUGAUCUCUUGGCAAUAAUAAAGCAUUUCUCUUUCGAGAC
ensembl:lncRNA